rnacentral:tRNA from 1 species
AAUAAGCUAAACACAAGCUAUUGGGCUCAUACCCCGAAAAUGGAUUCCCCCCUUUUAUCAC